GAUCUGGCUCAGGAUGAACGCUAGCGACAGGCCUAACACAUGCAAGUCGGAGGGGCAGCGAAGAGGUAGCAGUUACCUUUGCCGGCGACCGGCGCACGGGUGAGUAACACGUAUGCAAUCCACCUGUAACAGGGGGGAUAACCCGGGAGAAAUCCGGACUAAUACCCCAUAAUAUGGGCGCUCCGCAUGGAGAGCCCAUUAAAGAGAGCAAUUUUGGUUACAGACGAGCAUGCGCUCCA
rnacentral:rRNA from 1 species